ACACAUUUUGUCUCUCUUCUUCUCUCUCCACACUCAUGAGAGAGUAACGAUUUCUCUAAAACCCUAUAAAAAGUUUACAGAAAAAUGAUAUGUCAAUCACCAUUUUCGUUCAAAUUUAAUCAGAUCGAAUUUGUCCAAUAAAAUUUGAUGACCAACAGAAAACAAAGGAAAUCCAAAUUCAACAAUGUCGUGGGGGUUGGGGUGGAAACGUCCAUCGGAUACUUUCCAUGUCACCUUAAGCUACGGCGCCGAUGACGCAGUGGAUGACGCCAGCCCAAGGUCAUCACGAUCGUCGUCGUCGUCGGCCGCCGGCGUGGGUGGGUCCCCGUCAUUCACGUCGUCCCUUGCAAUGCUUUCACAGGAAAAUAAUCAUGAGCAAUUCGGGUUUCGAAUUGACCUCGACUGGACUGCCGGCGAGGAUGAGGAUCAGGUCGCUCUCCGGCUCCAGUCGCAGGUCAUGGUCGCGCUGCCGUCGCCGCAGGACACUGUCGAAGUUGAAAUGAAGGAGAAGGAGAAGAGUCCUAGAAAUUUGGAAAAUGGCGGCGAGAUUGUUGAAAGUGGGGAGGGUAGUGUGGCCAGCGGCGAGGUUGGGGAGGAUUUUGGGGGAGAGGUGGGAGUGGAGAUGAGGGUGGUGAAGAGGAGGGAGCCGUUGAAGGGGGUUGUAAUGUGGAGAGUUGGGGGAUCGGGCCAGCAGAGUGAUGGGAUGGGAGUUUUUGUGAGGUUGAUGAGGUCAAAUUUUGCGAAUGGGGUUGGAGGUGGAGGUGCGGCUGCGGAGGGGGCUGGAGCAGGGCCCGGAGCUGGGGUUGGGGCUGUCGUAGGGUGUGCUGAGCAUUGGAAGAGUGUCACUUUGGUCAGUCUCUGUGGUCUGGGAUUAUCAGUCUUGCCUGUGGAGGUAACCCAACUGCCACUACUUGAGAAGCUAUAUCUUGAUAACAACAAGCUAUUAACUUUGCCACCUGAGCUUGGUGGGCUAAAAAACUUGAAAGUUCUUGCAGUUGACUACAACCUGCUGGCCUCUGUUCCUGCUGAACUAAGGCAAUGUGAUGGAUUACUUGAAUUGUCUCUGGAACACAACAAAUUGGUCCGGCCUCUUCUUGAUUUCAGGUCUAUGGCUGAGUUGCGGGUUCUAAGGCUAUUUGGAAAUCCACUGGAGUUCCUCCCUGAUAUCUUACCAUUGCAUAAACUUCGUCAUUUGUCUCUUGCAAAUAUCAGGAUUGUUGCAGAUGACAAUCUUAGAUCAUUGAAUGUGCAGAUAGAGAUGGAGAACAGUUCUUACUUUGUUGCAUCUCGGCAUAAGCUGAGUGCCUUCUUUUCUCUCAUAUUCCGGUUUUCUUCUUGUCAUCACCCUUUGCUUGCAUCUGCUCUGGCAAAGAUAAUGCAAGAUGAGGGAAAUCGGGUUGUCGUUGGGAAAGAUGAGAAUGCAGUGCGGCAGCUCAUAAGUAUGAUAAGUAGCGACAAUCAACACGUGGUUGAGCAAGCUUGUUCUGCUCUUUCAUCUCUUGCUUCAGAUGUUUCUGUGGCAAUGCAGUUGAUAAAGACUGACAUCAUGCAACCAAUUGAAGGAGUGCUGAAAUCUGCCAGUCAAGAGGAAGUAAUAUCUGUGCUGCAAGUUGUGGUUAAGUUGGCUUUUACGUCUGAUAUUGUGGCUCAGAAAAUGUUGACUAAGGAUAUACUAAAAUCUUUGAAAUUAUUAUGCGCCCAUAGAAAUACGGAGGUACAAACAUUAGCUUUAUUGGCAGUGGGAAAUUUAGCUUUCUGCUUGGAGAAUCGGCAUACACUCGUUACUUCAGAAAGUUUGAGGGAUCUUCUUGUACGACUGACAGUUGCAUCCGAGCCACGUGUGAAUAAAGCUGCAGCUCGUGCUUUGGCUAUACUUGGCGAAAAUGAGGUUCUGCGGCGUGCUAUUAGAGGCCGGCAAGUCCCAAAGCGUGGGCUGCGUAUCCUUUCCAUGGAUGGUGGUGGCAUGAAAGGUCUGGCAACUGUCAGGAUGCUCAAGGAAAUUGAAAAGGGCACUGGGAAACAGAUACAUGAGCUGUUUGACCUUAUUUGUGGUACAUCAACGGGUGGCAUGCUUGCAGUUGCUCUUGCAAUUAAAUUGAUGUCCUUGGAAAGAUGUGAAGAGAUAUACAAAGACCUAGGGAAACUUGUUUUUGCUGAACCUGUUCCGAAGGACAAUGAAGCAGCAAGUUGGAGAGAAAAAUUGGAUCAACUUUACAAAAGCUCAUCUCAGAGUUUCAGAGUUGUUGUGCACGGAUCCAAACACAGUGCAGAUCAGUUUGAGCGAUUAUUGAAGGAGAUGUGUGCUGAUGAGGAUGGAGAUCUUCUGAUAGAAUCAGCUGUUAAACGGGUUCCCAAAGUAUUUGUGGUAUCAACUCUUGUCAGUGUUGCACCAGCUCAGCCUUUCAUAUUCCGCAAUUACCAGUACCCUGCUGGGACUCCAGAGAUUUCCUCCGCAAUUUCUGAGAACUUGACAACAGGUGGCCUUGGAGCAGCAACAUCUGGAGCCCAAGUUGGAUCCAAGAGGAACGCCUUUCUUGGAAGUUGUAAGCACCAUGUAUGGCAAGCUAUAAGAGCAUCUUCUGCUGCACCAUAUUACCUUGAUGAUUUCUCUGAUGGUGCUUACCGUUGGCAGGAUGGAGCUAUUGUUGCAAAUAAUCCUACUAUUUUUGCCGUACGAGAAGCACAAUUAUUAUGGCCAGAUGCUAGAAUUGAUUGCUUAGUGUCAAUUGGAUGUUGUUCUGUCCCUACCAAGGUUCGGAAAGGAGGAUGGCGUUAUUUGGAUACUGGUCAGGUGUUGAUUGAAAGUGCAUGCUCAGUUGAUCGUGUGGAGGAAGCUUUAAGCACGUUGCUCACUAUGCUUCCUGACAUACAAUAUUUUCGCUUCAAUCCAGUCGAUGAGCGUUGUGAGAUGGAGCUAGAUGAGACUGAUCCAACCGUUUGGUUAAGAUUGGAGGCUGCCACAGAUGAUUACAUCAAGAAGAACUCUAUGUCAUUUAGAACUGUAUGUGAGAGUUUGCUGGAGAAUUCACAUGAUGAAAAAUUUCCAGAUAGUCUAAAGUCUCAGCAGUUUGUUAGAGCGAAAGGUUUAAAAUCUGUGCUAGAUGACAACAGCCCCUCUAUAGGCUGGAGACGAGCCGUGCUUCUUGUUGAGGCUUCUAACAGUCCAGAUUCUGGAAGAGUUUUUCAUCAUGCACGCUCACUUGAGACGUUUUGUGGUCGCUCUGGAAUAAAGCUAUCUCUAGUGAAUGAUAUAUCAGGCACCCUCAGAGCAACUGCAGGGUCUACAUUUCCAACACCAUUUACAUCACCUUUGUUUACUGGGAGCUUCCCAUCAAGCCCCCCGUUCUACAGUCCAGAUUUUGGGUAUCAGAGGGUUGGCCGGAUUGAUUUGGUUCCUCCUUUAAGCUUGGAUGGAUCCCAAUCUGCAAAAACAACCGCUUCACCGCCUGACUCUCCUGCCAGACGCAGGCAAUUGACUUUACCUGUCCUUUCACUGCAUGACAAACUAAGGAAUUCUCCUCAAGUUGGACUGUUACAUUUGGCUCUGCAAAAUGAUAUAUAUGGGUCCAUAUUAAGUUGGCAGAAUGAAGUGUUUGUGGUUGCUGAGCCAGGAGAACUAGCAGAAAAAUUUCUGCAGACUGUAAAAUAUAGCCUACUGGCAAUGUUUCGAGGACGACGUAGGAAGAAUGCAUCAAUUAUCACAGACAUUUCUACAAUUUCUGACCUGGUUUCGUGUAGGCCCUACUUCCAAAUUGGAGGUGUUGUUCAUCGAUAUAUUGGAAGACAAACACAAGUUAUGGAAGAUGAUCGAGAAAUUGCUGCAUAUAUGUUCCGUAGGACUGUUCCUUCUGUUCACUUAACUCCAGAAGAUGUUCGUCUGAUGGUUGGGGCUUGGAGGGAUAGGAUUAUAAUCUUCACUGGCAUCUACGGGCCUACCCAGGCUUUGAUCAAAUCACUUCUUGAUUCUGGUGCUAAAGCAGUCAUAUGCCCUUCUGCUGAACCUGAAGAAACACAGUUGGCAACAUUCCAGGGGUCUGGUGAAUUUAAUGCUGUAGAGAAUGGGAAGUUUGAGAUUGGAGAUGAAGAAGCAGAAGAUGAAGACAUGGAACCUGCCAGUCCAAUAAGUGACUGGGAAGACAGUGAACCUGAAAAAAAUGGAGCACCUUCACAUUAUUACUGGGACGAUGAUGAGGAGGAAUUGUCUCAGUUUGUCUGCCAGUUGUAUGACUCACUGUUUCAGAGUGGUUCAAGAGUAGAUGUAGCCUUACAAAAUGCUCUUGCCUUGCAUCGCAGCCUCAGAUAUUCAUGCCACCUUCCCAGUAUAAUGUGAUCCAGCCAUUUUAACUUUUUCUAACUAAAGAGGUGCAAGUUGAAUGGUCUUUGACAGCAUGCUCUUGCCUUGCCGAGUUUCCGGUACCUUGUGUAUUAUCUCACUUCUGCUGUUAAAUGGUGGACAAAUUGCACAAACUCACAUUGGUGUUUAGAGGAGUAUUGUACAAUUGAAACGUAAGCAGCCGAUUGUUAAUUUUGCAAAUUUGGAACAUAUAUAUGUACACCGUCAAUGUUUUCUUAGAUAGGAAUGCCUUUCUACCUGCCUCCGAUGAUCUGAUAGAUAGUCUAAUGUGUACAACUCCAAGCAAAUGAUGGAUUUGAAGAUGGAGCUGAUAUAUUUAGUGGUUUCUGACUUUUCAAUCAGCGAUAUGUACAGAGUAACCCGUACAACUUUCUUGUUAGAUACCACCAAUGUGCAAGCAUGCUUUUGUUCAA